ACACAGGGAGAGUUUGAUCCUGGCUCAGGACGAACGCUGGCGGCGUGCUUAACACAUGCAAGUCGAACGAUGAAGCCUUUCGGGGUGGAUUAGUGGCGAACGGGUGAGUAACACGUGGGCAAUCUGCCCUGCACUCUGGGACAAGCCCUGGAAACGGGGUCUAAUACCGGAUGAUAUCUGCUCCUGCAUGGGGGUGGGUUGAAAGCUCCGGCGGUGCAGGAUGAGCCCGCGGCCUAUCAGCUUGUUGGUGGGGUGAUGGCCUACCAAGGCGACGACGGGUAGCCGGCCUGAGAGGGCGACCGGCCACACUGGGACUGAGACACGGCCCAGACUCCUACGGGAGGCAGCAGUGGGGAAUAUUGCACCGCC
rnacentral:rRNA from 1 species